AGAUCUCCUCUUGCAUGGAUGGCUCAGAUCCGCUUACUCUUCAUAUGCGAUCGAACAACUAAAUUUGAUCAGAUCGUGCGGCCCAUAUUAGUUUCUCAAAUAAGAGUGAUCCAACGGCGGAGAGUGGGUCACGUGUCCCUGCACAAACGACCCAAAUCGAUGCGGAGAAGGUAUAAAAGCAUCGCAUCCCCAAAACCCUAACCCUAGCCAUGCUUGAGGUCGCUAGAGAAGGAGAAGAAGAGUGGUCAAAAAGAAAGUUGAUCACUGUCGCCACUGCACCGGAGCAACCGCCGAUGCCAGAAAAGUAAAAUUUUUCCCCCCUUCCAUUUGAAAUUGAAUUUCAAACUUCCCACACCCAUAUCAGAGCCAAAAGACCAGAGGGUAAGCUGAAAAUCAUGAGCGGAGCUCGGUUGAGUCACCGCGACUAUGACCCAAAAUAGGGGUUAAGCCCUUUCUCAUUUCCCGUUUCUUUCU
rnacentral:lncRNA from 1 species